rnacentral:rRNA from 1 species
UACGGGGGGAGCAAGCGUUGUUCGGAUUUACUGGGCGUAAAGGGCGCGUAGGCGGCCACCGCAAGUCGACUGUGAAAUCUCCGGGCUUAACUCGGAAAGGUCAGCCGAUACUGCGGGGCUAGAGUGCAGAAGGGGCAACUGGAAUUCUCGGUGUAGCGGUGAAAUGCGUAGAUAUCAGGAGGAAUACCGAUGGCGAAGGCAGGUCUCUGGGCUGACACUGACGCUCAUGCACGAAAGCGUGGGGAGCAAACAGG